UAGGUGUCGAACCCAAGGGCUCUUCUCAGCAGAGUGUCUGCAUGCCACACUCUGCUUUAGAGUCUGUUCCCUGGGGAACACAACCAGAGACUGAAAUAAUUGGUGGGCAGUGGGGAGCACAAAGGGCUGUUUUUGUUUCAUGUGAAGACGAUGAGCAUGCUAUGAACCCCGAAGAGCUGUUGUAUAAGAGUAUCUGCCUGGAAACCCUGUUGCCUGGAGACCACUCUUGAAGAACAUCCACUGCUGUGGCCUCUUAAAGAUUUAAGACAUCUAAUGAACAGCUGACAGAAAUCAUCAAUUUGCUCCUCAGGCCUCCCUCCUCCCUGAAACACAAAAACAUUGAAAUUAGGCCAAUUAAUAACUCUACAAUGGCCUCUAAGAGUUAAAAUGAAAGGAAGUGUAAAAUGGUUUCUCACUUGAAAUCAAAAGCUAGAAAUGAUUAAGCUUCGUGAGGAAGGCAAGUUGAAAGCUGAGACAGCCAAAAGCUGACUCCCGCACCAGGGAGCCAAGUUGUGCAAGCAAAGGAAAAGUUCUUGAAGGAAAUUAAAAGUGCUGCUCCAGUGAACACAUGAAUGAUAAGAAAGCAAAAGUGAUCUGGGUAGAAGAUCAAACCAGCCACAACAUGCCCUUAAGCCAAAGCCUAAUCCAGAGCAAGGCUUUAACUCUCUUCAAGUUUGUGAAGACUGAGAGAGGUAAGGAAAGUGCAGAAGGAAAGUUAAAUGCUAGAAGAGUCGGUUCAGGAGGUUUCAGGAAAAAGCCAUCUCCACAAAUAAACAUACAACGCGAAGCAACAAAUGCUGAUGUAGAAGCUGUGGCAAGUUUUCCAGAAGAGCUAGCUCAGAUCAUUGAUAAACGUGGCUACAUUAAACAACAUAUUUUCAGUGUGGAUGAAACAGAGUCCUAUUGGAAGAAGACACCAUCUAGGACUUUCAUAGCUACAGGGAAAAGUCAAUGACUGGCUUCAAAGCUUCAAAGAACAGGGUGACUCUCUUGUCAGACACUAAUACAGCUGCUGACUUGAAGUUGAAGCCAGUGCUCACUGCACAUUCUGAAAACUUAAGGAUCCUUAAGAACUGUGCUAAAUCUACUGUGCCUAUGUGCAACAAAGCCCUUAUGGCAGCAUGUCUGUUUACAGUAUCAUUUACUGAAUAUUUGAAGCCUACUACUGAGAACUACUGCUCAGGAAAAAAGAUACUUUUCAAAAUAGUACUGCUCUUUGACAAUGGACCUGGUCACCCAAGAGCUCUGAUGGAGGUGUGCAAGGAGAUGAACGCUGUGUUCAUGCCUGCUAACACAACACCCGUUCUGUACUCCAUGGAUCACAGAGUAAUUUUGACUUUCAAGUCUUAUUAUUUGAGAAAUAAAUUUUGUAAGGCUAUAGCUGCCACACAUAGUUAUUCCUGUGAUGGAUCCGGGCAAAGUAAAUUGAAAACCUAGAAAAGAGUCACCAUUCUAGAUGUCACUAAGAACAUUUGUGAUUCAUGGGAGGAGGUUAAAUUAUCAACAUUAAUAGAAGUUUGAAAGAAAUUUAUUCCAGCCCUCAUGGAUGACUUUGAUGGGUUCAAGACUUUGGUAGAGGAAGUAACUGCAGGUAUAGUGAUAAUAUCAAGGAAAUUAGAACUAAAAGUGGAGCCUGAAGAUGUGACUGAAUUGCUUCAGUCUCACGAUAAAACUUGAACAUAACAGCAGUUAAUUCUUACGGAUUAGCAAAAAAGUGGUUUUGUGAGAUGGAAUCUAUUCCUGGUGAAAAUGCUGUGAACACUGUGGAAAUGACAACAAAGGAUUUAGAAUAUUACAUAAACUUAGUUGAUAAAGCAGCAGUAGGGUUUAGAAGGAUUGACUCCAAUUUUGAAAGAAGUUCUACGGUGGGUCAAACGCUACCGAAGAGCGUUGCACGCUAUAGAGAAAUCUUUCAUGAAAGGAGGAGUCAACUGAUGUAGCAGACUUCACUGUUGUCUUAUUUUUAAAAAUUUCCACAGCCACCCCAAUUUUCAGCAACCACCACCUUGAUCAGUCAGCAGCCAUCAGCAUCAAAGCAAGACCCUCUUCCAGCAAAAAAAUUACAACAACUUGCUGAAGGCUCGGAUGAUUUUUAGCAACAAACUAUUUUAAAAUUAAGGAUUGUCAAACAUGACCCUUGAGGCUUACCUCUGGAUUGUGGUAUGAAGGAAUGAAAGCGAAAAAUAAUUACCUUUGUGAGAUUCAGUAAGUACUUAAGUCCACUUUUAAAAUUUGAAAACAGAAACAAAAUCUAACGAUUUAGACACAAGGGAGAAGCCAAUAUAUUGACAAUAGAUGCUUUUUGCAGAGUACAACAGACUUUUAAAGGCUAUUUAUUUUACAGUUUUCUUGGUGAAUUUCCAUAGCUCUCAUUUUUAGUGCUGUUUAAUUUAUUCAAAUAUUUAGACUGGUCAGUUAUCCCAAGGGCUUAGUGGGGAUGUUUUGCUUCAUGUUCUUAAAAGCCAUUCAAUGUACGCCUACAGCCAUCUGAUCUUUGACAAAGUCAGCAAAAAUAAGCAAUGGGGAAAGGACUCCCUACUCAAUAAAUGGUGUUGGAUAACCAGUUGGCCAUACACAGAAGAAUGAAACUGGACUCCUAUCUUUUACCACAUACAAAAAUUAACUGAAAAUGGAUUAAAGAUUUAAAUGAAAGACCUCAAACUAUAAGACUCCUAGAAGAAAAGCUAGGAAGCACCGUUCCUGACAUCAGCCUUGGGAAGGAAUUUAUAACUAAGUCCUCAAUAGCAAUUGCAACAAAAGCAAUUGACAAGCGGGAUUUAAUUAAACUAAAGAGCUUCUGCACAGCAAAAUAAACUAUCAACAGAGUAAACAAUCUACAGAAUGGGAGAAAAUAUGUGUAAGCUAUGCAUCUGACAAAAGCCUAAUAUCCAGAAUCUAUAAGGAGGUUAAAUAAUUGAACAAACAAAAACCAAAUAAUCUCAUUAAAAAAUGGGCAAAGGACAUCAACCAGACACUUCUCAAAAGAAGACAUACAAGCAGCCAACAAACACAACAAAAAAAUGUUCAACAAGUCACCAAUCAUCAGAGAAAUGCAAAUCAAAACAGAGGGCUAUUAUUGAAAAGUCAAAAAAGCAACAGAUGCUGGUGAGCCUGUGGAGAAAAGGGAAUACUUAUACACUGCUAUUGGAAAUGUAAAUUAGUUCAACCACUGUGGAAAGCAGUUGGGAGAUUUCUCAAAGAACUUAAAUCAAAACUACCAUUUGCCUCAGUGAUCCCAUUGCUGGGGUAUCUAUCUAAAGGGAAAUAAAUCAUUCUAUCAAAAAGACAAAUGCAGUUGUACAUUCGUCACAGCACUAUUCAAAAUAGUAAAGAGACUGAUUCAUCCCAAGUGUUCAUUAAUAGUGGACUCAGUAAAGAAAAUGUGGUACAUACACACCGUGGAAUACUAUGCAGCC
rnacentral:lncRNA from 1 species